UCGCUAUGAUGAAGUUUAUUCCUGCCAUUCGUAGUUUCCACCAGAGGUUGUAAAAACCAAAGAUGGCCACAAGUACCUUCCUUGGAUGUCUGAGUGA